rnacentral:rRNA from 1 species
AACGAACGCUGGCGGCGCGUCUUAAGCAUGCAAGUCGGACGGCAAGAAGGGGCUCGCCCCUUCCUAGAGUGGCGGACUGGUGAGUAACGCGUGGACGACGCGCCCACCCGACGGGGACAGCCGGUAGAAAUACCGGAUAAUACCGGAUGAUCUCUUUUGGAACAAAGGCGAAAGAGGAAAGCGGCUUCGGCCGCGCGGGUGGAGCGGUCCGCGUCCUAUCAGCUAGUCGGCGGGGUGAAGGCCCGCCGAGGCGACGACGGGUAUCCGGCCUGAGAGGGUGGACGGACACAUUGGGACUGAGAUACGGCCCAGACUCCUACGGGAGGCAGCAGCUAAGAAUAUUCCGCAAUGGGGGGAACCCCGACGGAGCGACGCCGCGUGGACGACGAAGGCCGGAAGGUUGUAAAGUCCUUUUUUCCGCGAGGAAUAAGGCCGGGAGGGAAUGCCCGGCCGGUGACGGUAGCGGAGGAAUAAGCACCGGCUAAUUACGUGCCAGCAGCCGCGGUAACACGUAAGGUGCGAGCGUUGUUCGGAAUCAUUGGGCGUAAAGGGCAUGCAGGCGGCCGUGCAAGCCCGGCGUGAAAUGGCGGGGCCCAACCCCGUCACUGCGCUGGGAACUGCAUGGCUAGGGUCGCCGAGGGGCAGCCGGAAUUCCAGGUGUAGGGGUGAAAUCUGUAGAUAUCUGGAAGAACACCGAUGGCGAAGGCAGGCUGCCAGCGGACGACCGACGCUGAGGUGCGAAGGCGCGGGGAGCGAACAGGAUUAGAUACCCUGGUAGUCCGCGCAGUCAACGAUGUACACUAGGUGUCUGGCAACAAAGCUGGGUGCCAAAGCAAACGUGGUAAGUGUACCGCCUGGGGAGUAUGCCCGCAAGGGUGAAACUCAAAGGAAUUGACGGGGGCCCGCACAAGCGGUGGAGCAUGUGGUUUAAUUCGAUGGUACGCGAGGAACCUUACCUGGGUUUGACAUAGUACUUAAGUUCGUAGAGAUACGGAUGCGUAGCAAUACGAAGUACAACAGGUGGUGCAUGGCUGUCGUCAGCUCGUGUCGUGAGAUGUUGGGUUAAGUCCCGCAACGAGCGCAACCCCUGUCCUUUGUUGCCAGCGCGUAAAGGUGGGCACUCAAAGGAGACUGCCGCGGAGAACGCGGAGGAAGGCGGGGAUGACGUCAAGUCAUCAUGCCCCUUAUGACCUGGGCUACACACGUACUACAAUGGGGCGGACAGAGAGCAGCGAGAGGGCGACCUUAAGCGAACCUCAAAAACCGUUUCUCAGUUCGGAUUGCAGGCUGCAACUCGCCUGCAUGAAGUCGGAAUCGCUAGUAAUCGCAGGUCAGCAUACUGCGGUGAAUACGUUCCCGGGUCUUGUACACACCGCCCGUCACACCAUCCGAGUUGGGGGUACCCGAAGUCGCUUGUCUAACCUGCAAAGGAGGACGGUGCCGAAGGUACGCUUGGUAAGGAGGGUG